GAUGAACGCUGGCGGCGUGCCUAAUACAUGCAAGUCGAGCGAACAGACGAGGAGCUUGCUCCUCUGACGUUAGCGGCGGACGGGUGAGUAACACGUGGAUAACCUACCUAUAAGACUGGGAUAACUUCGGGAAACCGGAGCUAAUACCGGAUAAUAUAUUGAACCGCAUGGUUCAAUAGUGAAAGACGGUUUUGCUGUCACUUAUAGAUGGAUCCGCGCCGCAUUAGCUAGUUGGUAAGGUAACGGCUUACCAAGGCAACGAUGCGUAGCCGACCUGAGAGGGUGAUCGGCCACACUGGAACUGAGACACGGUCCAGACCCCUAGGGGGGGCAGCAGUAGGGAAUCUUCCGAAAUGGGCGAAAGCCUGACGGGGCAACGCCGGGGGGGUGAUGAAGGUCUUCGGAUCGUAAAACUUUUUUAUUAGGGAAAAAAAAAUGUGUAAGUAACUAUGCACGUUUUGACGGUACCUAAUAAGAAAGCCACGGCUAACUACGU
rnacentral:rRNA from 1 species